AUCCUGGUGGUCCAGUGGUUAAGACCCCACAUUCCCAAUGCAGGGGGUCCAGGUUUGAUUCCUGGUCAGGGAA
rnacentral:tRNA from 1 species